CCUACGGGAGGCUGCAGUGGGGAAUAUUGGACAAUGGGGGCAACCCUGAUCCAGCCAUGCCGCGUGUGUGAAGAAGGCCCUCGGGUUGUAAAGCACUUUCAGUGAGGAAGAACGCCUGGUGGUUAAUACCCAUCAGGAAAGACAUCACUCACAGAAGAAGCACCGGCUAACUCCGUGCCAGCAGCCGCGGUAAUACGGAGGGUGCGAGCGUUAAUCGGAAUUACUGGGCGUAAAGCGCGCGUAGGUGGCUUGAUAAGCCGGUUGUGAAAGCCCCGGGCUCAACCUGGGAACGGCAUCCGGAACUGUCAAGCUAGAGUGCAGGAGAGGAAGGUGGAACUCCCGGUGUAGCGGUGAAAUGCGUAGAGAUCGGGAGGAAUACCAGUGGCGAAGGCGGCCUUCUGGACUGACACUGACACUGAGGUGCGAAAGCGUGGGUAGCAAACAGGAUUAGAUACCCUGGUAGUC
rnacentral:rRNA from 1 species